GAUGAACGCUAGCGGCAGGCUUAAUACAUGCAAGUCAAGGGGGUAGCAAUACAACCGGCGCACGGGUGAGUAACACGUACACAACAUACCAUAUACUGAGGUAUAGCUUCGGGAAACUGAAGGUAAUCCCUCAUAGUAUUGUGAAAGGGCAUCUUUUUACAAUUAAAGUUUCGACGGUAUAUGAUUGGUGUGCGUUUGAUUAGCUAGUUGGUAGGGUAACGGCCUACCAAGGCAACGAUCAAUAGCUGGCGUGAGAGCGCGACCAGCCACACUGGAACUGAGACACGGUCCAGACUCCUACGGGAGGCAGCAGUAGGGAAUAUUGGACAAUGGGCGAAAGCCUGAUCCAGCCAUGCCGCGUGAUAGAUGAAGGCCCUCUGGGUUGUAAAUAUCUUUUAUCUGGGAAGAAACUCCUCUAUUCUUAGAGGCCUGACGGUACCAGAGGAAUAAGCACCGGCUAACUCCGUGCCAGCAGCCGC
rnacentral:rRNA from 1 species